rnacentral:rRNA from 1 species
UACGGAGGAUCCAAGCGUUAUCCGGAAUCAUUGGGUUUAAAGGGUCCGUAGGCGGUUUGGUAAGUCAGUGGUGAAAGCCCAUCGCUCAACGGUGGAACGGCCAUUGAUACUGCCAGACUUGAAUUAUUAGGAAGUAAACUAGAAUAUGUAGUGUAGCGGUGAAAUGCUUAGAGAUUACAUGGAAUACCAAUUGCGAAGGCAGGUUACUACUAAUGGAUUGACGCUGAUGGACGAAAGCGUGGGUAGCGAACAGG